rnacentral:misc_RNA from 1 species
AGGGCCACCCAAGUGCAACAGAAGGAAUGGUGCCCAAAAUGCUGUGAGCUGAGUGUCUGCGUCCAGAUCAAUGCCCUUAGCCCCCUCCCUCUUGUUCUCAUAGACUUCUCCCAUGUUGUUUAAGAAAGCCCCAAGGACAACGGUUGCUACCCAAUCGGCCAUCAAAUAGGCCCACCAUAGGAGAACUCGAACCCAAAUCCUUCUCGAAAGUUUCCGCCGAUUUCCAAAAAGAAUUAAUAUUAUCUGCAAGACAAGGCUGAG